ACGCUCGCUCUCACCGCUUCACCUAGCAAUAACGCCAGAACCAUCACCACAGAGCCAACCAAGAUCAAAAAUAGCAGAAUAUUCAAAACCAGCUGGAUGCAAAACACGAACAGUCACAGUAGAAGUUCCUCGAUACAAAGUGGACCCAACUUCAGUGGGCUUCCUUCUGUGGCCUUCGUGUGUAGAGAUAAAGCGCUGUUCUGGCUGUUGUAACACCAAAACCUAUCAAUGCAUUCCUGUCCACGCAUAUUACAAGCCUUUUCAGAUAGCAAAGGUGACUUAUCGAUAUGGUAGGAAUGAGCUCACCAUACACACUGUAUCAAUCAGAGAACAUGUAAGUUGUAACUGCACAGAGCUGGCAAGACAUCAACCAAGGUUCCCCCCAAAAUAUUAUCGACAACCAACUGACAACAACUGAUGUGUAAUCUCAGCCAACACACAACACUAAAAGGACAGAGUUGACAAACAACUAAUAUAUUGCAUGCAUUAAGGAGGCAGUAUUCUCUCUCUAUCUUUGGACUGUGCAGACAUGCAUCCUCUUGGGUGAGCUCACAAAGAUAAUGAGGAGCCACAGCUAUCGGGAUGGUGCUAUGGGUUCUCUAUCACUGGGGACUCCGCCCGGUCCACUUGUGAUGUGCAAUAACUAAGAAGAGCUUCCUCACCAUUUCUACACUUCACAGUCUACAGGCAGUGACUUGCAGCAGUUCCACAGAAUUACAGGGGAUUGAUUCUCAACCUGAGAACUCUGAAUCAAGGAGACAUUUGAUUAAUUUCUAAACUUUCAUUUUGCUGGUGA